rnacentral:rRNA from 1 species
GCCGCGUGAGUGAGAAGGCCUUUGGGUUGUAAAGCUCUUUUGUAGGGGAAGAUAAUGACUGUACCCUAAGAAUAAGGUCCGGCUAACUUCGUGCCAGCAGCCGCGGUAAUACGAAGGGACCUAGCGUAGUUCGGAAUUACUGGGCGUAAAGCGCGCGUAGGCCGUUGAGUUAGUUAAUUGUGAAAUCCCAAAGCUUAACUUUGGAACUGCAAUUAAAACUGCUCGACUAGAGUUUGAUAGAGGAAAGCGGAAUACAUAGUGUAGAGGUGAAAUUCGUAGAUAUUAUGUAGAACACCAGUUGCGAAGGCGGCUUUCUGGAUCAACACUGACGCUGAGGCGCGAAAGUAUGGGUAGCAAAGAGGAUUAGAUACCCUCGUAGCCCAUACCAUAAACGAUGAUUGCUAGAUGUUGGAAAUUUAUUUUCAGUAUCGCAGCUAACGCAUUAAGCAAUCCGCCUGGGGAGUACGACCGCAAGGUUAAAACUCAAAUGAAUUGACGGGGACCCGCACAAGCGGUGGAGCAUGUGGUUUAAUUCGAAGAUACGCGCAGAACCUUACCAACCCUUGACAUGUCUGUCGCGAGUUUAGGAAACUAGACUUUUCGGUUCGGCCGGACAGAACACAGGUGCUGCAUGGCUGUCGUCAGCUCGUGUCGUGAGAUGUUGGGUUAAGUCCCGCAACGAGCGCAACCCCUACUUUUAGUUGCCAUCAGGUAAUGCUGGGCACUCUGAAAGAACUGCCAGUGAUAAGCUGG